AGUCGGGGGAAACCCGUCUG
rnacentral:snRNA from 1 species